rnacentral:rRNA from 1 species
GAUGAACGCUGGCGGCGUGCUUAACACAUGCAAGUCGAACGGUGAACACGGAGCUUGCUCUGUGGGAUCAGUGGCGAACGGGUGAGUAACACGUGAGCAACCUGCCCCUGACUCUGGGAUAAGCGCUGGAAACGGCGUCUAAUACUGGAUACGAGUAGCGGCCGCAUGGUCAGUUACUGGAAAGAUUUUUUGGUUGGGGAUGGGCUCGCGGCCUAUCAGCUUGUUGGUGAGGUAAUGGCUCACCAAGGCGUCGACGGGUAGCCGGCCUGAGAGGGUGACCGGCCACACUGGGACUGAGACACGGCCCAGACUCCUACGGGAGGCAGCAGUGGGGAAUAUUGCACAAUGGGCGAAAGCCUGAUGCAGCAACGCCGCGUGAGGGAUGACGGCCUUCGGGUUGUAAACCUCUUUUAGCAGGGAAGAAGCGAAAGUGACGGUACCUGCAGAAAAAGCGCCGGCUAACUACGUGCCAGCAGCCGCCGUAA